rnacentral:rRNA from 1 species
CGCCUAAUUGAAUUACACUAGGUAGAGUCUGCCCAAUGAAUAGUUUAAUGGCCGCAGUAUCCUGACUGUGCUAAGGUAGCAUAAUCAUUUGCUUUUUAAUUGAAAGCUGGAAUGAAAGAUCUGACAAAGAUAUCCCUGUCUUAAUUAUUUAUUUUAAUUUAUUUUUAAAGUUAAAAACCUUUAUAAUAUAGGGGGACGACAAGACCCUACAAAACUUCACUUUUUAAAAUAAUUACUAUAUUAGACCUUAAAUAUAUUCAAAAAGUUUUACUGGGGCGGUAAGAGUUAAUUAUCAUCUUUUAUAAAAACAUUAUUUAUGAAUCUUAUAAGCUUAUCUAUAACACCAAUAAUAAGUUACUUUAGGGAUAACAGCAUAAUAUCUUCCAAGAGCCCUUAUCGCCGAAGAUGUUUAUGACCUCGAUGUUGAAUUGAAAUAUCUUUAUAAAGCAGCAUUUAUAUUAGAAAGUCUGUUCGACUUUUAAAUUUUC